rfam:Sus scrofa isolate TJ Tabasco breed Duroc chromosome 13, whole genome shotgun sequence.
UCCCUGGUGGUCUAGUGGUGAGGACUCAGUGCUCUCACCACUGUGGCCCGAGUUCAAUCCCUGGUCUGGGAA